rnacentral:rRNA from 2 species
UGGGGAAUAUUGGACAAUGGGCGCAAGCCUGAUCCAGCCAUGCCGCGUGAGUGAUGACGGCCUUAGGGUUGUAAAGCUCUUUUCUCCGGGACGAUAAUGACGGUACCGGAGGAAUAAGCCCCGGCUAACUUCGUGCCAGCAGCCGCGGUAAUACGAAGGGGGCUAGCGUUGCUCGGAAUCACUGGGCGUAAAGGGCGCGUAGGCGGCGUUUUAAGUCGGGGGUGAAAGCCUGUGGCUCAACCACAGAAUGGCCUUCGAUACUGGGACGCUUGAGUCUGGUAGAGGUUGGUGGAACUGCGAGUGUAGAGGUGAAAUUCGUAGAUAUUCGCAAGAACACCGGUGGCGAAGGCGGCCAACUGGACCAGUACUGACGCUGAGGCGCGAAAGCGUGGGGAGCAAACAGG